UAAGACGUAGGAGGCGAGCGUUGUCCGGAUUCAUUGGGCGUAAAGAGCACGCAGGCGGUUUGGCAAGUCGGAUGUGAAAACCCGGAGCUCAACUCCGGACCUGCAUCCGAAACUGCCCGACUAGAGGUAGGUAGGGGAGAUCGGAAUUCCUGGUGUAGCGGUGAAAUGCGCAGAUAUCAGGAGGAACACCGGUGGCGAAGGCGGAUCUCUGGGCCUUACCUGACGCUCAGGUGCGAAAGCUAGGGGAGCGAACAGGAUUAGAUACCCUGGUAGUCCUAGCCGUAAACGUUGGGUGCUAGGUGUGGGCGGAUAUCAACCCCGUCCGUGCCGAAGCUAACGCAUUAAGCACCCCGCCUGGGGAGUACGGCCGCAAGGCU
rnacentral:rRNA from 1 species